AUGGGCUGAGUCCACAGGAUAAUCCUCAAGUCAAGGAGAUGAGAUUAUCCAUUCCGCCACAGCAUGGAAGUCACCAAAUGGUGAAUUUGCCAGCGAAUCUCCCAGAGCACGAGUUCCUUGCUGACUUGGAGCCAUUGGGAGCCAGCCGAAUGAAGCUCCUCAGGAUUUGGCAUGACAUGCUAAAAUUUUGGAGAAGAACAAGGCGUGGCAUGGUGAAAAGUGCAUCAUUUUGACCCGCCGGUGAACAUUGUGGUCAGUGGUUAUGUUUGCGAGAAGAAAAAAACCUAUCGUGAUUGGAGCACUGAUCUUAUGCACAACCCUUCACGACAGUUCCGAGCCUCGUUGCGUGCGCACGUCCCAUGGAAACCGACACCUGACAGCAAUAGCAGUGGAUGUUUCUUCUUCCUUGUGACUAGAGUUGUUUUGACAGUAACUUGGAUUAUGAGGCACAGGCAUCAUUAGGCCAGCAGUCUGAAGGUAGAGGAAGGUGCAUAGCAGCACAUGAUCCGUCCUGUACCAGCAAUGGAGAGGAAAUCUAUAGCAAUGGAAGAGAGGAGAUUUAGUGUACUACCAUCCAUCCAUGGGAUCCAUCCAAUGCUACCAUUGUGUUGUGUAAUGAGUCAAUAUUUCAGUAUCAUCCUCACACACAAAAAGAUGCUUCAGCAUUAUAUUACGUUGUAAUAGAUGAAUGUACGUUUAGUAGUAGGCAUCGCACUAAACCCACAUAUCCCACUUAAUAAUAUGUUGGUUUUGACAGGCAUCCCAUGCCAGAGACCUGACAUCGCCUGAGAGGCGGCGAGCGGAGAAGGCUGCGAAGGGGCUAGGGACGGUCAUGUACCUCAGCUGAUGGGGCCCAAAUUAGGAGCACUAGUAGCUGGGGUGUUGAGUUCAUUGCAGCUUAUGCUUAUGUUAUGUGACAAUCCCCACAUGAUCGGUUGUAAACAUACCAUGAUGAUGACAAUGAUGAAAAUUUCGGCUAUGAGUUUACAUCA